rnacentral:rRNA from 1 species
UACAGAGGGGGCAAGCGUUAUUCGGAAUUAUUGGGCGUAAAGAGCUCGUAGGCGGCUUGUCGCGUCGACUGUGAAAACCCGCGGCUCAACUGCGGGCCUGCAGUCGAUACGGGCAGGCUAGAGUUCGGUAGGGGAGACUGGAAUUCCUGGUGUAGCGGUGAAAUGCGCAGAUAUCAGGAAGAACACCCGUGGCGAAGGCGGCUCUCGUGGUACGUGACUGACGCUGAGACGCGAAAGCGUGGGGAGCAAACAGG